GGUUGUGGGCACCUCUGCACAGACAUCCUGGUCCAUGGAAGAGAGAAGCCCCGGCUAGUUCUAAGGCGUGGACCUAAUUCCCACAGAUCACCACUAAUCUUGAGUGUCUCACAAACAAACAGACUUCCUGCAGCCCCUGUGCAGGGCCAAGCCUCCUGCCUGAAGACUGGAAGGCGUGAGCAUGGGAAACGGCCCCACCUUCCUGCUGAGCCUGAUUUCCCAGCCCCUUUCUAGAGUUUGUGUGAAGGAAAAGAUGAGGGAGAGCCAUUGGUAUGCUGGGGAGUUACGGGGUCCUUGAAAACUCAGAUGCAGAGAUCACGGGCAGAGCUGAAUCAUGAGGCAGCCAGCGUGUCCUAGGAUGGGCAGAAACCAGGCCCCACUGUGGCCACAAUCUGCCUACAUCAGAAUGCCUGCUCCUUCUCUUCAGGAUGUUUGGCCUCCUGAAUAUUUCACUCUUUCAUGGGAUACUUCACGUCAUGUCCAGAGUCAGCAAAGCCCAAAGAUGCCCUUGUGACAAGCCGUGCUGGCAUUAGAAGGCUCUUGUGUGAGCACUGUUGCUUCCUGGUGUGGUGACCUUGGGUUGACUUUGUCACCUCACAGAGAGCUCUCUGCAGUGAAGAUGAAAUAGGUCGUAUGGACAAGUGGCCAUCAGCAGUGCGCCGUGCAGCCUGUGUGCCCGCCCAACAGUCGAGAGGACCAAACCACUGGGGAGAACUGAGUGUCUUUGCUGGCAGGAUCUGAAGGCCAGUGAACACGUAGUGCAUACAUAUGAGUCUAUGAGCGGCAUAUCUACUGGAAUUCUCGAAUACCCUUCAUGCGGAUCUGGCCGUUCACACACUGUCACAAAGUGGACCAGCACCAAAUAAAAGGAGCUCCGAUGUGGAACUA